rnacentral:rRNA from 1 species
AGGACGAACGCUGGCGGCGUGCCUAAUACAUGCAAGUCGAACGAGACUUUCCUUGGUGGUAACACCUUUGAUUGUCUAGUGGCGAACGGGUGAGUAACACGUGAGAAACCUGCCCUGAAGACGGGGAUAACAGAAGGAAACUUCUGCUAAUACCCGAUACCCCCACCGGAUCGCAUGGUCUGGUGAGGAAAUGGAUUCCGCUUCAGGAGGGUCUCGCGGCCUAUCAGCUUGUUGGUGAGGUAACGGCUCACCAAGGCUUGGACGGGUAGCUGGUCUGAGAGGACGAUCAGCCACACUGGGACUGAGACACGGCCCAGACUCCUACGGGAGGCAGCAGUAAGGAAUAUUGCGCAAUGGGCGAAAGCCUGACGCAGCAACGCCGCGUGCGGGAUGAAGGCCCUGGGUUGUAAACCGCUUCAGUAAGGAAGAAAAUGACGGUACCUACAGAAGAAGCCCCGGCAACUACGUGCCAGCAGCCGAC